GCAGCGCUGGCUUGGCCAGGGUUGGGCCAAGGUGAGCACCUCCUUGGCUCUGGCAUUGCCUAGGGGCUGCCUGAGGUGCACUAAAAUAGGCAGAAGUCCAAGCCCGAGACAAACAGCGGGCCCCAGUGGACUUUAUCCUCCCCACCAGGUCCCUGUAUGAGAGCGGACCUGAGGCCUGGGACAUCCUACCUUGCUCUGCAAGCUAGGAGUCACCCAGGCCUUGCU